GAUGAACGCUGGCGGCGUGCUUAACACAUGCAAGUCGAACGGAGUGCCCUUGAAGGAGUUUUCGGACAACGGAUAGGGUUACUUAGUGGCGGACGGGUGAGUAACGCGUGAGUAACCUGCCUUGGAGUGGGGAAUAACAGUUGGAAACAACUGCUAAUACCGCAUGAUGCAGUUGUCUCGCAUGGGAUGACUGCCAAAGAUUUAUCGCUCUGAGAUGGACUCGCGUCUGAUUAGCUGGUUGGCGGGGUAACGGCCCACCAAGGCGACGAUCAGUAGCCGGACUGAGAGGUUGGCCGGCCACAUUGGGACUGAGACACGGCCCAG
rnacentral:rRNA from 1 species